GUCCCGCUGGCUCAAUGGCAGAGCGUCUGACUACGAACUUGAUGAAGUUAUCAGGAGGUUCCAGGUUCGACCCCUGGGUGGAUCG